rnacentral:lncRNA from 1 species
AGACGGCUGAUUAUUGCGUUUUACCACAUUGUGUCAGCAGCAAUAUGGAAGUAGAAUAUGAAAUGUUUUUAGAAUUGUGCGAAUUGUACUCUUUAUAUGCUUUAUAUAAAAAGUAUAAAAACAGAAAAGGAAAGAGAAGAUAUAAAAUGCGCCCAAUCAAUAAAAACUAGGGCUUUUGUGAUUACAAGUUAAAACUUUUCUAGUAAUAAAAAACAGCGAACCAGAACAACAUUUUUUGCAUACAAGGAAGCCUGCGGACGUCUAUAAUUUGCUCAUGAAUUUAGUAUGGAAAUCCUUGAAAAAGACAAGUAUUCCAUUCGGCCAUGCAUUAAUACAAAACACUCUGCUUUUGCCAUCACCUGUGCCACUGUCUGACGUGUCACCGGAACCUUUUCCUUACUUUUUCGUUGAAGAUGCUGCAUUCCCAUUACGAAGUAAUUUAAUGCGCCCGUUUCCCGGAGCUAAUCUAACCAACACGAAACGUAUUUUCAAUUAUCGAUUGUCACGCGUAGAGGUCAUUCAAAUGCGUUUAACUUACGGGAAAGACUU